rnacentral:lncRNA from 1 species
GGGACUCAGAGGGGAGAGGACAUGUUUUGACAGGAUGACUUCUUAUAAGAGCAUCUCUGAGUGUGCUUAUCUUGUGCUGAAGGAAUUAUCUACUUACUGGUAUUCCCUUACCUGCUCCUUCAGGACAUCAGGCAACAAAUUUUGAAAGCGAUGACAUUCUGAGAGGAAGACCAUGGGAGAAGAGGAAAGUGUCAUAUUUUAGUUCUUUUAAUGGAAGGCUUUCAUGCUUUUCAUACGAAGAGCUUCACAUUUUCCUUU